AACGAACGCUGGCGGCAUGCCUAACACAUGCAAGUCGAACGAAGCCUUCGGGCUUAGUGGCGCACGGGUGCGUAACGCGUGGGAAUCUGCCCUUGGGUUCGGAAUAACAGUUAGAAAUGACUGCUAAUACCGGAUGAUGUCUUCGGACCAAAGAUUUAUCGCCCAAGGAUGAGCCCGCGUAGGAUUAGAUAGUUGGUGAGGUAAAGGCUCACCAAGGCGACGAUCCUUAGCUGGUCUGAGAGGAUUAUGAGCCACACUGGGACUGAGACACGGCCCAGACUCCUACGGGAGGCAGCAGUAGGGAAUAUUGGACAAGGGGCGAAAGCCUGGUCCAGCAAUGCCGCGUGAGUGAUGAAGGCCUUAGGGUUGUAAAGCUCUUUUACCCGGGACGAUAAUGACAGUACCGGGAGAAUAAGCCCCGGCUAACUCCGUGCCAGCCGCCGCUGUAACAC
rnacentral:rRNA from 1 species